rnacentral:rRNA from 1 species
UGGGGAAUUUUGGACAAUGGGGGAAACCCUGAUCCAGCCAUCCCGCGUGUGCGAUGAAGGCCUUCGGGUUGUAAAGCACUUUUGGCAGGAAAGAAACGUCAUGGGUUAAUACCCCGUGAAACUGACGGUACCUGCAGAAUAAGCACCGGCUAACUACGUGCCAGCAGCCGCGGUAAUACGUAGGGUGCAAGCGUUAAUCGGAAUUACUGGGCGUAAAGCGUGCGCAGGCGGUUCGGAAAGAAAGAUGUGAAAUCCCAGAGCUCAACUUUGGAACUGCAUUUUUAACUGCCGGGCUAGAGUGUGUCAGAGGGAGGUGGAAUUCCGCGUGUAGCAGUGAAAUGCGUAGAUAUGCGGAGGAACACCGAUGGCGAAGGCAGCCUCCUGGGAUAACACUGACGUUCAUGCACGAAAGCGUGGGGAGCAAACAGG